rnacentral:piRNA from 1 species
UUCAAGAAUGGAGAGGCCUGA